rnacentral:tRNA from 1 species
GAGGGUAUAAACUCAGUGGAAGAGUGUGUGCUUAGCAUGCAUGAGGUCCUGGGUUCAAUCCCCAGCACCUCCA